UACGUAGGGGGCAAGCGUUGUCCGGAAUUAUUGGGCGUAAAGGGCGCGUAGGCUGCGGGGCAAGUCGGGUGUGAAAUCUCAGAGCUCAACUCUGAAACUGCACUCGAUACUGCUUUGCUUGAGGACUGGAGAGGAGAUUGGAAUUCACGGUGUAGCAGUGAAAUGCGUAGAUAUCGUGAGGAAGACCAGUGGCGAAGGCGGAUCUCUGGACAGUUCCUGACGCUGAGGCGCGAAGGCCAGGGGAGCAAACGGG
rnacentral:rRNA from 1 species